UACAGAGGUCCCAAGCGUUGUUCGGAUUCACUGGGCGUAAAGGGUGCGUAGGUGGUAGGGUAAGUUUGAUGUGAAAUCUCCGGGCUUAACCCGGAAACUGCAUUGAAUACUAUCUUACUCGAGGUUUGGAGGGGGGACUGGAAUUCUCGGUGUAGCAGUGAAAUGCGUAGAUAUCGAGAGGAACACCAGUGGCGAAGGCGAGUCCCUGGACAACACCUGACACUGAGGCACGAAAGCUAGGGGAGCAAACAGG
rnacentral:rRNA from 1 species